rnacentral:rRNA from 1 species
GAUGAACGCUGGCGGCGUGCCUAAUACAUGCAAGUCGAGCGAACGGACGAGAAGCUUGCUUCUCUGAUGUUAGCGGCGGACGGGUGAGUAACACGUGGAUAACCUACCUAUAAGACUGGGAUAACUUCGGGAAACCGGAGCUAAUACCGGAUAAUAUUUUGAACCGCAUGGUUCAAAAGUGAAAGACGGUCUUGCUGUCACUUAUAGAUGGAUCCGCGCUGCAUUAGCUAGUUGGUAAGGUAACGGCUUACCAAGGCAACGAUGCAUAGCCGACCUGAGAGGGUGAUCGGCCACACUGGAACUGAGACACGGUCCAGACUCCUACGGGAGGCAGCAGUAGGGAAUCUUCCGCAAAGGGCGAAAGCCUGACGGAGCAACGCCGCGUGAGUGAUGAAGGUCUUCGGAUCGUAAAGCUCUGUUAUUAGGGAAGAACAUAUGUGUAAGUAACUGUGCACAUCUUGACGGUACCUAAUCAGAAAGCCACGGCUAACUACGUG